UUAGUUUCGUGGGUUGGUAGCGGUGAAUAUUACUUCGUGUUCUGAGGUCGUCCUUGUGACAGACGAAAAGAACCGCAGCUUUCACUCUUAGUUGGAAAUUGUUCGGGGUGGUAUUUGACAAAUUUAGGUCAAGUACAGGUUAAUACCUAGUUUCAGUAAAAAAAUGUGAAUUCCGAAGUAUGGAUCACCAAAUGUAAUCAGGAGUAUUUAGGAGAAAUAAGUAAUCCAUCCAAUGGGGUUUUCUGUAUAAAAUCAUCGAGUCACAUGCCACUCCCGUGAAAACUUAGACCUCUCAAUACCAUCUGAGAGGUAGGACAAUUUCCAACCAUUAGUCACUUGGGGGAACAAGCAAGCUGGAGCGUUCCAGCUCCAUUUUCUGUCAUCUUUACAUCUGCACCUACGGAUAGGACAGGUUAGCACUCUCCGUGUGCUCAUUUUAUGGAUUGCAGCAUCGAACUUUAUCUUGAAGUCGUUCGAUGAAGGGAUUUGUUUGGGAACAUUUAAGUUUUGUGAUUUUAGUAACUAUUGUGUUUAAUAUCACAGACAUUUGGUUAAUGCAUUAUGUUUAUUAAUUAUUUUUCUUAAGAUUUAGCUUGCAUUUAUUUGGUUUUUAAUAUAGGUACAUAUAAGUUUAGUAAGUUUCCAAACUCAUGUAUAAUUUUGCGGUACUGUACGUUGAGCUCGGCGUAUCUGCCAAAAAGGUAUUACUUUUUAUAUUUCAUUGUUAAUUUAGGUCGAUUUCAUGUCAUUAUGUACAUUUAGCUUGUAUUAGUUGCUUGUUUCUCAGAUAUUUCGUUGUUCAUUUGCGUUUCUUCAUUUGUUCGGUUAAUUCAGGUCGUUGUUUAAGUAUUUAUCUUACCUUCAAUUUAUUUUAUGCAUUUGUAUGUUUAACUUUCCUUAACUCAUUUUCUUGUAUUUUCUUUAG
rnacentral:lncRNA from 1 species